GGUGGCUCAGUGGUAGAGUGCUUGCCUUGCAUGCAUGUGGACCUGGGUUCAAUUCCUCAGCACCA
rnacentral:tRNA from 1 species